AACGAACGCUGGCGGCAUGCCUAACACAUGCAAGUCGAACGAGACCUUCGGGUCUAGUGGCGCACGGGUGCGUAACGCGUGGGAAUCUGCCCUUGGGUUCGGAAUAACAGUUGGAAACGACUGCUAAUACCGGAUGAUGACGUAAGUCCAAAGAUUUAUCGCCCAAGGAUGAGCCCGCGUAGGAUUAGCUAGUUGGUGAGGUAAAGGCUCACCAAGGCGACGAUCCUUAGCUGGUCUGAGAGGAUGAUCAGCCACACUGGGGCUGAGACACGGCCCAGACUCCUACGGGAGGCAGCAGUGGGGAAUAUUGGACAAUGGGCGAAAGCCUGAUCCAGCAAUGCCGCGUGAGUGAUGAAGGCCUUAGGGUUGUAAAGCUCUUUUACCCGGGAUGAUAAUGACAGUACCGGGAGAAUAAGCUCCGGCUAACUCCGUG
rnacentral:rRNA from 1 species